UACAGAGGGUGCAAGCGUUGUUCGGAAUUAUUGGGCGUAAAGCGCGUGUAGGCGGCUUUGCAAGUCGGGUGUGAAAGCCCUCAGCUCAACUGAGGAAGUGCGCCCGAAACUGCAGAGCUUGAGUGCCGGAGAGGGUGGCGGAAUUCCCCAAGUAGAAGGUGAAAUUCGUAGAUAUGGGGGAGGAACACCGGUGGCGAAGGCGGCCACCUGGACGGUAACUGACGCUGAGACGCGAAAGCGUGGGGAGCAAACAGG
rnacentral:rRNA from 1 species